GACGAACGCUAGCGGCAGGCCUAAUACAUGCAAGUCGAACGGGAUUAAGAGGCUUGCUUCUUAUGAGAGUGGCGCACGGGUGCGUAACACGUAUGCAACCUACCUUCAACUGGGGGAUAGCCUUCCGAAAGGGAGAUUAAUACCGCAUAAUAUAAUUGAGUGGCAUCACUUGAUUAUCAAACGUCAGGGUUGAAGAUGGGCAUGCGUCCGAUUAGUUUGUUGGUGAGGUAACGGCUCACCAAGACUACGAUCGGUAGGGGAUCUGAGAGGAUGGCCCGCCACACUGGUACUGAGACACGGACCAGACUCCUACGGGAGGCAGCAGUAAGGAAUAUUGGUCAAUGGACGGAAGUCUGAACCAGCCAUGCCGCGUGCAGGAAGACGGUCCUCUGGAUUGUAAACUGCUUUUGUUAGGGAAGAAACUUCCGUACGUGUACGGGACUGACGGUACCUAAAGAAUAAGGAUCGGCUAACUCCGUGCCAGCCGCCGCCGUAAAAC
rnacentral:rRNA from 1 species